CUUAGGGGAUCCCUAGUACGGCGAGUGAGCGGGAAGAGCUCAAAUUUGAAAUCUGGUGGCCUCAGGUCAUCCGAGUUGUAAUCUAUAGAAGUGUUUUCCGUGCUGGCUCAUGUACAAGUCCCUUGGAACAGGGCGUCAUAGAGGGUGAGAAUCCCGUCCUUGACAUGAACUACCAGUGCUCUGUGAUACAUUUUCAACGAGUCGAGUUGUUUGGGAAUGCAGCUCAAAAUGGGUGGUAAAUUCCAUCUAAAGCUAAAUAUUGGCGAGAGACCGAUAGCGAACAAGUACCGUGAGGGAAAGAUGAAAAGCACUUUGGAAAGAGAGUUAAACAGUAUGUGAAAUUGUUGAAAGGGAAACGAUUGAAGUCAGUCGUGCUCUUUGGAUUCAGCCGGUUCUGCCGGUGUACUUCCUUUGAGUGGGGUCAACAUCAGUUUUGAUCGCUGGAUAAAGGCUGGAGGAACGUAGUACCCUCGGGUAAACUUAUAGCCUCCUGUCACAUACAGUGGUUGGGACUGAGGAACGCAGCACGCCUUUAUGGCCGGGAUUCGUCCACGUACGUGCUUAGGAUGUUGACAUAAUGGCUUUAAACGACCCGUCUG
rnacentral:rRNA from 1 species